GACGAACGCUGGCGGCGUGCUUAACACAUGCAAGUCGAACGAAGUGGCGAACGGGUGAGUAACGCGUAAUCAACCUGCCCUUCAGAGGGGGACAACAGUUGGAAACGACUGCUAAUACCGCAUACUGAAGGUGGGGAUUGCGUCUGAUUAGCUAGGUGGAGGGGUAACGGCCCACAAAGGCGAUGAUCAGUAGCGGGUCUGAGAGGAUGACCGGACACAUUGGGACUGAGACACGGCCCAGACUCCUACGGGAGGCAGCAGUGGGGAAUCUUCCGCAAUGGACGAAAGUCUGACGGAGCAACGCCGCGUGGGUGAUGACGGCCUUCGGGUUGUAAAGCUCUGUUAAUCGGGACGCGGUACCGGAGUAGAAGGCCACGGCUAACUACGUGCAGGCGGCCGCGGUAAUU
rnacentral:rRNA from 1 species